rnacentral:rRNA from 1 species
UAACAGGAUUAGAUACCCUGGUAGUCCACGCCCUAAACGAUGAUCACUAGCUAUUGGAAAAACGAUAUUCAGUGGCUUAGCGAAAGCGAUAAGUGAUCCACCUGGGAAGUACAGUCGCAAGAUUGAAACUCAAAGGAAUUGACGGGGGUUCGCACAAGCGGUGGAGCAUGUGGUUUAAUUCGAUGAUACGCGAGGAACCUUACCAAGGCUUAAAUGUAUUACGAAUAAGCUGGAAACAGUUUAGUCUGUAUGACGUAUUACAAGGUGCUGCAUGGUUGUCUUCAGUUCGUGCUGUGAAGUGUUUGGUUAAGUCCUAUAACGAGCGCAACCCCUAUUGUUAGUUGCCAUCGGGUAAAGCCGGGGACUCUAACAAAACUGCCGGUGUAAACUGUGAGGAAAGUGGGGAUGAUGUCAAAUCAUCAUGGCCUCUAUGUCUUGGGCUACACACGUGCUACAAUGGCUGGGUUACAAAGGGUCGCCACUGGGUGACCAGGAGCUAAUCCUUAAAACCGGUCUAAGUUCGGAUUGCAGUCUGCAAUUCGACUCUAUGAAGCCGGAAUCGCUAGUAAUCGCACA